CCUACGGGAGGCAGCAGUGGGGAAUAUUGCACAAUGGGGGAAACCCUGAUGCAGCGACGCCGCGUGAGUGAAGAAGUAUUUCGGUAUGUAAAGCUCUAUCAGCAGGGAAGAAAGUGACGGUACCUGAAUAAGAAGCCCCGGCUAACUACGUGCCAGCAGCCGCGGUAAUACGUAGGGGGCAAGCGUUAUCCGGAUUUACUGGGUGUAAAGGGAGCGUAGACGGCAAGGCAAGUCUGAAGUGAAAGCCCGGUGCUUAACGCCGGGACUGCUUUGGAAACUGUUUGGCUGGAGUGCCGGAGAGGUAAGCGGAAUUCCUAGUGUAGCGGUGAAAUGCGUAGAUAUUAGGAAGAACACCAGUGGCGAAGGCGGCUUACUGGACGGUAACUGACGUUGAGGCUCGAAAGCGUGGGGAGCAAACAGGAUU
rnacentral:rRNA from 1 species